rnacentral:rRNA from 1 species
CCAAUAGCGUAUAUUAAAGUUGUUGCAGUUAAAAAGCUCGUAGUUGAAUUUCGGGAUUGACGUGAUGGUCAUGCCUUAAGGGGUAUGAACUGUUGCAGUUGAUUUCUCACCUUCUGGAAAAACUUGAUGUCCUUUAUUGGGUGUCUUGCGGAUCCAGGACCUUUACCUUGAAAAAAUUAGAGUGUUUAAAGCAGGCAUUUUUGCUCGAAUACAUUAGCAU